ACCAGAUUUGGUGGUGCAUACCUGUAGUCCCAGUUACUCAGGAGGCUGAGGCUGGAGGAUCAUUUGAGACCAGAAUUUUGAGGUCAAGCCUUGGGAACACAGUGAGACCCUGUUUCAA
rnacentral:sRNA from 1 species